rnacentral:misc_RNA from 1 species
CGCACAUUGCGCCCUUUGGCAUUCCAAAGGGCAUACCUGUUCGAGCGUCACUUAGCCUCUCAAGCUCAGCUUGGUCUUGGGCGUCUUGUCUUUAGACUCGCCUUAAAACUAUGGGCGCUUCUCCGCCAAUUAUGGAGCACAGUACAUUGUUGCUGCUAAUUCCGGUGAAGGAGCUGCCAGAACAACUUUUUUUUAUUUGACCUCGGAUCAGGUAGGGAUACCCGCUGAACUUAA